GCCCAUAUGGCUUAGUGGUAAAGCGCAUCACUCGUACUUCACAAGGUCAUGAUGAGAUCCUCGGUUCGAGUCCGAGUGUGGGCA